UAAUUAUAUAGCUCAAUAAAUACCCCGUGGACAUUUUACAAGUUAGGCCAAUAGGACUCUGGUAUAUUGUUAAAUUGUAGAACAGCAAUCGCCUAGACAUGAAGCAAGUUACGGUUCUGUUCGCUGUUUUGAUUUUUUUGAAUGCUUUCUCGGUUGACUUGACGGGAAGAAGAUUGGAAGAUGGAUCUAAUGCUCUGAAAUUAGAAGGACCUCCUGGAGUUUCAGAUCCUAUGCCACACAAUUCACGGAGAACCAAACCACCAACCAAACUUUUUCCUCCCGGACCAAAUUCGUGAUAACAGAAAUCUUUCGUCUCGUUGAGAUGUACGACAACACAACUUUAUAAUUAAAAACUGGUAUACAAAUAAUAGCAGAUAUUGACUGUUUAAAUAUUGGGAUUUUAUUGUUAUUCGAGCUCAUGUUGACCUAUUUCGUUAUAUUUUUGUUGUUCCACAUUUUGUUUUUGAUUGCAGAAUCAAUUGAAUAGAUAUUUUCAGCGAUUAAAAAUAAAAAUUUUCUUUCU